rnacentral:lncRNA from 1 species
CUCGGCUUCCCGCUCUUGCCUCACUCUCAGCGGCUGCCUUCGCCCCUGUCUGCAGACAGCGCCGCUGGAUGCUCCCAGCUGGACUUCAACCCCACUCCUCUCAGUCCCUCUCCCCACUGCCUUCCAGACGCGCCUCUUCCCCGCCCCGCGCCCCUCUCUCCUCUCCCACCCCUGCCCCUCUCCGCGGCGCUCACCCUCCUCAGUCCCAGUUUCUGAAAGGACUCAGCUGAGAAAGGACAACUGGGUUCCGCUUUCCUUAACCCUACACCCUUUAGCUGGAUGCUGUCAGAGGCGAUGGAGAAACGCAAAGGACACAGCAAGAGGCAACAUUUUGGAAGCAGAGGGCAACUCUCACUGGAAACCAAAUCUCCUGGCACCUUGAUCUUGGAUUUUACAGCCUCCAGAACUGAUAGCUGGGAGGCAUUACAUAGUCAUGUGCGAGGUCAAAACUGAGUCACCACCACAACCAAGUUCCAGCUGGCAAGAAGAGGAAAAAUAACACAGAGGAGUUAUGACCAGUGUUGUAAGGAUCUGGCCUAGAAAUGGCAUGCAUCUCUUCCACUAAUAUCCUAUUGGUAAAAAUGUAGUCACAUGGGCACACCACCUAUCUGCAUGGAAGGCUGGGAAAUGUUGAUCGGUAGGGCAGCCAUAUGUGUAGGAAGGAGAAAACAGAAUUUGGUGGAUACCUAGUAGUCUCUGCCAUACCCUUGACCAGAAAUUUUUCUUCUAAAGAAUUUAAUUCUAAAAGUUAUAGACAUUCCCAAAGAUAUACCUGCAAGCAUCACAGCUUUGUGUAUAAUUGCAAAAGUUGAAAUCAACAUGAAUGCCCAAAAUAGUGAAUUAUUUAAACAGAUUAUUACCCAUAUUAUGAAGAAAUACUCUGCAACUCUUAAAAAUAAAUGUAAUGUGCCAGGCGCAAUGGGAUAUGCCUGCAGGCCCAGCUACACGGGAGGCCAAGGCAGGAGGAUCACUUGAAAUCAAGAGUUCAAGUCUAGCCUAGACAACAUAGUGAGACUUGGUCUCUAAAAAAGAAAAAAAAAAAUAAAACUGAUGUAAUGAAUAUAUAAUUACAACAAAAGAGGUCUAACACUAUAGUAGAAAAGUUUGGGGCACUCAUCCCAUUCAUAAUUAUUUUACAUUUAAAUUACUGUUCCUACUUAAGUGGUGAGCUUGGUAACCAUUUUCAUAUCAGGUGAUACUGCUGCAGUAAUCAUAGCUGUUUGAAUCAGGAAUAAUCCCAAUCACAUUUUCUCUUAAUCGUUUAUUAUACUGGGCAUUGGGGUUGCAAGAUAAUGCACAGUCCGAGCUCAAUACAUGUCUUCAUGUACCUGUAUGUAAAUCCCACUUUUAUUCUAAAAUUCUUUGAAUAUUUUGUUUCUUGGAACCCAAUGAUCCUAAGAAAAUUAUGUACUUUUAC